UUUUACUUGCACGGUUAUGUUUUGUGAAAUUAGGGUUUUUACGGAUCGUUCUUCGGGAGGAUUUGAGGGGAAUUAGGAUUUCAGAUUGGUUAAAAUUUUUGUGGGUGUAAAGGCAAUCUAGGUAAUAAUCGGAAUAUGAAGCAUUGCGACAUUUGGGUUAACAAUGGGAAGCAGUUCACAAGCUUCUGAUGACAUUUUCAGGAAUUGAAGAGUGAUUAAUUGCAGUGAUUAAUUACAGGAAUUGAAGAGUGAUACACGUAUCAUUCUGUACAAUAGAUGGUUUUGUGUUGAAAGUGGAAGUACUGAUAAUCCUUCAGUCGUGCUCAUUCAUGGUUUCCCAUCACAGGCUUACUCAUAUCGCAAAGUUAUUCCAAUACUUUCCAAGAACUAUCAUGUCAUUGCUUUUGAUUGGUUAGUCUACUAUUUCCAUAUUGCUAUCGGUUCUGCAAAUGCUGGAUUUUGCCGAGCUUGAGUCAAAUGGAAUUGUCUCGUUGAAUUGAAUGAAUUUAUGCUAGGAGGUGUAGCAAGAAAUAUUGCUGAGUGCCUGUUAAAGCUAGGAACAAAAUCAUUCAUGAUCAGUGCUCUGGGAUGUGACCUGCCAGAUUCAAGGAUCACAAGCAUUGCUCGUGGUUGUCCCGGCCUUGAAAUGAUUAGCAUAUCAUACCGAUGAAGAUGCAAGGUUUCAAUGAGGCUAUUUUUGUUUUUAGUGUGAUGCAAAGCAAGAACAAAAAUAAGGCUAUAUGGAGUUGUAUAUAUUUCUUGUAAUUGUACAACUUUUUGAUAUAUAUGUAAAAAUGUUGGAUUUAUGUUCACGAUAGACCAUGAACGUAUUUGUAGAAGAUUUUGGUGAAAUAUUAAUAGUUGGUGCUUUAUUAAA